UACGUAGGGUGCGAGCGUUAAUCGGAAUUACUGGGCGUAAAGCGUGCGCAGGCGGUUCGUUAAGUCAGCUGUGAAAGCCCCGAGCUCAACUUGGGAAUUGCAGUGGAUACUGGCAGGCUGGAGUACGGUAGAGGAAGGUGGAAUUCCCGGUGUAGCAGUGAAAUGCGUAGAUAUCGGGAGGAACACCAGUGGCGAAGGCGGCCUUCUGGACCAGUACUGACGCUCAUGCACGAAAGCGUGGGGAGCAAACAGG
rnacentral:rRNA from 1 species